rnacentral:rRNA from 1 species
UCCAGACUCCUACGGGAGGCAGCAGUGGGGAAUAUUGCGCAAUGGGCGAAAGCCUGACGCAGCGACGCCGCGUGAGGGAUGAAGGUCUUCGGAUCGUAAACCUCUGUCAGCAGGGAAGAACGGUCACUGUGCUAAUCAGCAGUGAAUUGACGGUACCUGCAAAGGAAGCACCGGCUAACUCCGUGCCAGCAGCCGCGGUAAUACGGAGGGUGCGAGCGUUAAUCGGAAUUACUGGGCGUAAAGGGCGUGCAGCCGGGCUGACAAGUCAGAUGUGAAAUCCCGCGGCUCAACCGCGGAACUGCAUUUGAAACUGUCAGUCUUGAGUACCGGAGAGGUCAUCGGAAUUCCUUGUGUAGCGGUGAAAUGCGUAGAUAUAAGGAAGAACACCAGUGGCGAAGGCGGAUGACUGGACGGCAACUGACGGUGAGGCGCGAAAGCGUGGGGAGCAAACAGGAUUAGAUACCCGCGUA